rnacentral:tRNA from 1 species
GGGUCUGUAGCUCAGCUGGUUAGAGCGCUCGCCUGAUAAGCGGGAGGUCCCUGGUUCGAGUCCAGGCAGGCCCA